CCUACGGGGGGUAGCAGUCGAGAAUCAUUCACAAUGGGGGAAACCCUGAUGGUGCGACGCCGCGUGGGGGAAUGAAGGUCUUCGGAUUGUAAACCCCUGUCAUGUGGGAGCAAAUUAAAAAGAUAGUACCACAAGAGGAAGAGACGGCUAACUCUGUGCCAGCAGCCGCGGUAAUACAGAGGUCUCAAGCGUUGUUCGGAAUCACUGGGCGUAAAGGGUGCGUAGGCUGUUUCGUAAGUCGUGUGUGAAAGGCGCGGGCUCAACCCGCGGACGGCACAUGAUACUGCGAGACUAGAGUAAUGGAGGGGGAACCGGAAUUCUCGGUGUAGCAGUGAAAUGCGUAGAUAUCGAGAGGAACACUCGUGGCGAAGGCGGGUUCCUGGACAUUAACUGACGCUGAGGCACGAAGGCCAGGGGAGCGAAAGGGAUUAGAUACCCGAGUAGUC
rnacentral:rRNA from 1 species